AGUAUGAAUGGAUACACGAAAAUCUAACUGUCUCUAUGGAUCUACUAAAAAUUAUCCUUCAAGUGAAGAGACUUGAAUCCUAAUAAAAGACAAGAAGACCCUGUAGAGCCUAAAUCAACGUUAAGCCUCUUUAAUAAAUUAAAACACAUUUACCUAACAACAUUUCAGUUGGGGCGACUAGGGAACAACCAAACCUUCCCCAUAUCAAAAGGCCUUUACGCCUACACUAAUGACCCAUACCACAUGAUCAAGAAACUAGGCUACCUCAGGGAUAACAGUUUAAUCUUCCUCAAGAGCCCGUAUUGACAGGAAGGAUUGGCACCUCGAUGUUGGCUUAGGAA
rnacentral:rRNA from 1 species